CCAAGGCUGAAUUCAGUAUAUGAUGAACAACUUGUUCUCCAGAGUUGGAACUUAGGGGAGAAGGUUUUAGAGAUGAUCACGCAACUCUCUGAGGCUCCUUCUCAGACAACUGAACCUCCCACAAGAGGGACAAUAUAUGGAAGGGAGAUAAUUUUUUAAGAACAAAGACAAAAACUCCACAGAUCUGCAAGAAUGAACCAGUCUUUACUGCUGGUUAAUUCUUCCUGGGUUCCUGUGCGCCAUUGGAGGGGUCGUGGCAGACGCAAGAUCCCCCUGGAUUUCACUUCACUUCCCUUUAAGUAUUUGGCUCCAGGAACUGGGACAUCUCAUCCUUCACUUUGAAACUCUCUGUUCCUUCUAGCUGUUCAGCCAUCUGAGAAUUGCAGCUCCUAAAAGUUU